GGGCCGGGGUUACUCCAACCCAUGUGACCAUACCAAACUGUUGCCUCGGCGGGGUCACGCCCCGGGUGCGUCGCAGCCCCGGAACCAGGCGCCCGCCGGAGGGACCAACCAAACUCUUUCUGUAGUCCCCUCGCGGACGUUAUUUCUUACAGCUCUGAGCAAAAAUUCAAAAUGAAUCAAAACUUUCAACAACGGAUCUCUUGGUUCUGGCAUCGAUGAAGAACGCAGCGAAAUGCGAUAAGUAAUGUGAAUUGCAGAAUUCAGUGAAUCAUCGAAUCUUUGAACGCACAUUGCGCCCGCCAGUAUUCUGGCGGGCAUGCCUGUCCGAGCGUCAUUUCAACCCUCGAACCCCUCCGGGGGGUCGGCGUUGGGGAUCGGGAACCCCUAAGACGGGAUCCCGGCCCCGAAAUACAGUGGCGGUCUCGCCGCAGCCUCUCCUGCGCAGUAGUUUGCACAACUCGCACCGGGAGCGCGGCGCGUCCACGUCCGUAAAACACCCAACUUCUGAAAUGUUGACCUCGGAUCAGGUAGGAAUACCCGCUGAACUUAAGCAUAUCAAAA
rnacentral:rRNA from 1 species